CUAAGGAGUGUGUAACAACUCACCUGCCGAAUGAACUAGCCCUGAAAAUGGAUGGCGCUCAAGCGUAUUACCCAUACCUCACCGUCAGCGUUAAUAUGACGCGCUGACGAGUAGGCAGGCGUGGAGGUCAGUGAAGAAGCCUUGGCAGUGAUGCUGGGUGAAACGGCCUCUAGUGCAGAUCUUGGUGGUAGUAGCAAAUAUUCAAGUGAGAA
rnacentral:rRNA from 12 species